GUGCGGGUGGUGAUCGAAGGGCUGAAGAUGCGGAGGAGGCCGAGUCGCUAGGCGCUUUCGGGGGCGCUGUGCCGGGGAGGCUUAGUCAAGGGGACCGGGAACCCUGGUUAGAUGCAGCAGCGGCGGCAGCAGCCCUCCCAGGUCCCACUUCCUUGGCGUUCCUGCUGCCCGUGACUCAAGGCAAUUGACUUCCAUCUGAACCCUCAGCUCCGAACGCCUUGCAUUAGAAGCUAGAGCUUUGGAGGUUCUGAGGACGGUCCCUGGGGAGCAAGUGGUAGGUUUCGAGGCGCCUGCUUCCCCUCUGAUUCCUGCAGUUACUGAGGGAGAGUGCGCUAGAAAUGGCUUUGCUGCCGAAUGCAUUAUCUUGCCAUUUUCGUGUCCCAAUACUGAACAAACGAUCGCCUGAUCGAUCGGUAAGAUUAGCUUUAUUCCUUCUCCCUAUUCCUCUCCUUGGCCCAUUCCCUCUGCAAGCCCAAACCCCAAUCUCUCUCUCUCUCUCUCUCUCUCUCUCUCUCUCUCUCUCUCUCUCUCUCUGUCUCCAGGAACUUCUUUUUUCCUCUUUGAAACCGGCUUCCCAAGGGAACUGCCUGUGUGACUGAGAGGCUAGUAAUCUGUUUGUAGAUGAUUUAUAUUUUGGCUGCAGAAUGAAUCCCCCUCCCUACUCGGAGUACUCGCCUUAGAGAAGAUCCCCCGCCCCCUCCCUAUGGGUUCGCUCUCAGAGCUCGGAUCUGUAUAAAGAGCGCUGUGGGAGUCUUUUGCCCUCCGCUCUAGCUCUAUCUUCCUCCGGACCCCGAAGCUUAAGAAUUAUCCGCCUCACUCUCUUUUUUAGAAAUAGGAGGGAAAGGUAGAGUGGAAAUUGAUUUCUUGCAGAGACUGAGGCGCUGAAUGAUAGAGGGAAUAAACAUUUGCCCUGGAUAAAAAUGUUCUUGGCUGUUGUCCAGCUCUAAUGAUGUCCUAGAGCAGAAGUGUUUCUUCUGUUGUCUCAUUUUACCGAGAGGAUGAUGUCUGUGUAUGUCUCUGUGUUUUAGAGAGGCUAACAAAUGCUGCUAAGAGGAUCUGAGGUUCACAUAAAGAGGCUGAAAAUUCGGAAUUACUUUCAUUGCAAAUAAACGUUAACAAUUGUGAGAGUUAGAGAGCAUACUUUUCACAUAAGACUUUGAUAUGCUGCCUAAAGCUACUUACAACAUUUGCUAUUCAGAGAAAUACAUUUGUUUAUUGAGGACCCACCCUGAGUUAAAUUAGAAAAAUGUAACAUUCAGAUUUUUAUUUUAUAUGUGAAAUUAAUGUGUGAUUGCUGUUCUUAAAAAUUUGAAAAAUAAAACAGGAUAACAAAAAUAUUACUUUUGUUACCCAUAGUUCAUGAACUUUAAAACUGUUUACAGCAUUUAAAGUUUAACAAUUUAAGUAUUUGAACACUAUACUAAUUCAUAGGGUUACAUUUGAUCAACUCCUUCAUGAAGCCACAGGCUUAUAUCUCCUAGCUGCCUUUUACCUUCAGAACAUAGCUGGUUUAUACUUAGACUGUUCCAAAAGUUAUGCAUUUUAAUUUUGUGUUGAGAAUGUCUUUCUUAGAUAAUCAUAGUGCAUAUUCGCAGCUAGUACUUCAGUACAUUUUAUAUUAUUGGUAAUGCUUUUGUUAGCCAUUCUGGUGCUGCCUUGUUAUAAGAACUGUGUAUGAGUUCCAACUAAUAUAUUUCUUACCUAUGAACCCACUAAAAUUUCUAAUCAAAAGCAAUAUUCAAGAUAUAUUUUAUUACAGAAAUUGGAAAGCAAUUUGCCUGGGAAGCAAAAUGUUCGUGUGAUUCAGGUGAUUUUAACAUUAAAUCUAA